ensembl:snoRNA
UAAAGUCAUCCUGAUCAUCCCUGCUCUGUCAAUUAAGCUUUGGGACAUUGAAACUGGCUGGGAAAUGAUUGGAUAGAAAAUAUUUUCUAUUCAUUUAAUACCCAGCUUACAAAU